rnacentral:rRNA from 1 species
GACGAACGCUGGCGGCGUGCUUAACACAUGCAAGUCGAACGGAAAGACCCCCUUGUGGGGUACUCGAGUGGCGAACGGGCGAGUAACACGUGAGUAACCUACCCUUGACUUUGGGAUAACUUCAGGAAACUGGGGCUAAUACCGGAUAGGAGCUCCUGCUGCAUGGUGGGGGUUGGAAGGUUUCGGCGGUUGGGGAUGGACUCGCGGCUUAUCAGCUUGUUGGUGGGGUAGUGGCUCACCAAGGCUUUGACGGGUAGCCGGCCUGAGAGGGUGACCGGCCACAUUGGGACUGAGAUACGGCCCAGACUCCUACGGGAGGCAGCAGUGGGGAAUAUUGCACAAUGGGCGGAAGCCUGAUGCAGCAACGCCGCGUGCGGGAUGACGGCCUUCGGGUUGUAAACCGCUUUCGCCUGUGACGAAGCGUGAGUGACGGUAAUGGGUAAAGAAGCACCGGCUAACUACGUG